AUGGAGGCCUGCUGUAGCGUAGCCAGGAUAGUGAGCUUUGCACAUUUUGGCCUGAGAAUUUUGCCCAAGUUGCUGGCUCUUUCUCCCGAUUCACUGGGGAAAUUCAGAAAGGUCUCACCACUGAUGGAAACUGAAACUGCGGUGAGAAAUUUGCCGGAGCUGCCGCAGGAUGUAUUGAUCGAAAUAUUUUCACUCCUCGAGAUACCUGACCUCAUGCGUGCGGCCUCUGUCAGCACCUCCUGGCGCUCUGCGUAUACCAGCCUAUGCAACGAGCUUGAGCAGUACAAACGGCCUCAGACGCCUUGCCUCCUCUACACUUCUGAAUCUGCUGGUGAGAACGUCGCUUGUCUCUACAGCCUUGCGGAGAAGAGGGUCUACAAUCUAACUCUGCCGGAUCCGCCCAUCCGCAGAAGGUAUCUGAUUGGGUCCUCGCAUGGUUGGCUAGUUACCGCGGAUGACAAGUCUGAGCUCCACCUUAUCAAUCCGAUC
rnacentral:rRNA from 1 species